rnacentral:rRNA from 1 species
GACGAACGCUGGCGGCGUGCUUAACACAUGCAAGUCGAACGGAAAGGCCCUGCUUUUGUGGGGUGCUCGAGUGGCGAACGGGUGAGUAACACGUGAGUAACCUGCCCUUGACUUUGGGAUAACUUCAGGAAACUGGGGCUAAUACCGGAUAGGAGCUCCUGCUGCAUGGUGGGGGUUGGAAAGUUUCGGCGGUUGGGGAUGGACUCGCGGCUUAUCAGCUUGUUGGUGGGGUAGUGGCUUACCAAGGCUUUGACGGGUAGCCGGCCUGAGAGGGUGACCGGCCACAUUGGGACUGAGAUACGGCCCAGACUCGUACGGGAGGCAGCGGUGGGGAAUAUUGCACAAUGGGCGGGAGCCUGAUGCAGCAACGCCGCGUGCGGGAUGACGGCCUUCGGGUUGUAAACCGCUUUCGCCUGUGACGAAGCGUGAGUGACGGUAAUGGGUAAAGAAGCACCGGCUAACUACGUG